AGAACGAACGCUGGCGGCAUGCCUAAUACAUGCAAGUCGAACGAAGGCUUCGGCCUUAGUGGCGCACGGGUGCGUAACGCGUGGGAAUCUGCCCCUUGGUUCGGAAUAACAGUUGGAAACGACUGCUAAUACCGGAUGAUGACGAAAGUCCAAAGAUUUAUCGCCAAGGGAUGAGCCCGCGUAGGAUUAGCUAGUUGGUGAGGUAAAGGCUCACCAAGGCGACGAUCCUUAGCUGGUCUGAGAGGAUGAUCAGCCACACUGGGACUGAGACACGGCCCAGACUCCUACGGGAGGCAGCAGUAGGGAAUAUUGGACAAGUGGGACGAAAG
rnacentral:rRNA from 1 species